rnacentral:rRNA from 1 species
AGCUUGCUCUUAUGAAUUUAGCGGCGGACGGGUGAGUAACACGUGGGUAACCUGCCCAUAAGACUGGGAUAACUCCGGGAAACCGGGGCUAAUACCGGAUAACAUUUUGAACCGCAUGGUUCGAAAUUGAAAGGCGGCUUCGGCUGUCACUUAUGGAUGGACCCGCGUCCCAUUAGCUAGUUGGUGAGGUAACGGCUCACCAAGGCAACGAUGCGUACCCGACCUGAGAGGGUGAUCGGCCACACUGGGACUGAAACACGGCCCAAACUCCUACGGGAGGCAGCAGUAGGGAAUCUUCCCCAAUGGACAAAAGUCUGACGGAGCAACGCCGCGUGAGUGAUGAAGGCUUUCGGGUCGUAAAACUCUGUUGUUAGGGAAAAACAAGUGCUAGUUGAAUAAGCUGGCACCUUGACGGUACCUAACCAAAAAGCCACGGCUAACUACGUGCCACCAGCCGCGGUAAUACGUAGGUGGCAAGCGUUAUCCGGAAUUAUUGGGCGUAAAGCGCGCGCAGGUGGUUCUUAAGUCUGAUGUGAAACCCCACGGCUCACCCGUGGGAGGGGUCUUGGAACUGGGAGAC